GGCAUUGGCUUCAUCCUCUUCUUUCUGAAGAUCGAUUCCAGCCUGCUGCAUCUGUUUCAAACUGGGAGAGAUGGGACAAAGACACGGAGAUAAAGACAAAGAACGGAGACAAAGGGAGAGACGAGACAGAGAUAACGUACUAUCUCCGACAGACGCUUCUUCUCAGCCCUGAGCUCAUUGUCACGGCGAUCCAGUCUGACCUGCUGCUCCUGAUUAGCGCUCAUGCGAGUGUCGACGGCGUGGACCUGCUGCUGAGCUGCCUGGAGAGGUCAAAGGUUGCCAUAAGAACACCUCACAGAAAUAAAGAUCAGAUCAACUUAAA